rnacentral:rRNA from 1 species
UACGAAGGGGGCUAGCGUUGCUCGGAAUCACUGGGCGUAAAGCGCACGUAGGCGGACUCUUAAGUCGGUGGUGAAAUCCUGGAGCUCAACUCCAGAACUGCCUUCGAUACUGGGAGUCUCGAGUCCGGGAGAGGUGAGUGGAACUGCGAGUGUAGAGGUGAAAUUCGUAGAUAUUCGCAAGAACACCAGUGGCGAAGGCGGCUCACUGGCCCGGUACUGACGCUGAGGUGGCGAAAAGCGU